CAGCCGCCGCGGGAAUACGUAGGUGGCAAGCGUUGUCCGGAAUUAUUGGGCGUAAAGGGCUCGCAGGCGGUUUCUUAAGUCUGAUGUGAAAGCCCCCGGCUCAACCGGGGAGGGUCAUUGGAAACUGGGAAACUUGAGUGCAGAAGAGGAGAGUGGAAUUCCACGUGUAGCGGUGAAAUGCGUAGAGAUGUGGAGGAACACCAGUGGCGAAGGCGACUCUCUGGUCUGUAACUGACGCUGAGGAGCGAAAGCGUGGGGAGCGAACAGGAUUAGAUACCCCAGUAGUCCCUGUCUUUUAUAC
rnacentral:rRNA from 1 species